rnacentral:rRNA from 1 species
GUGCCAGCAGCCGCGGUAAUACAGAGGAGCCAAGCGUUGUCCGGAUUGACUGGGCGUAAAGCGCACGCAGGCGGCCGCGCACGUGGGGUGUGAAAUCUGGCCGCUUAACGGCCAGGCGCCAUCCCAUACGGCACGGCUGGAGCCAUGCAGAGGGCGGUGGAAUUGCCGGUGUAGUGGUGAAAUGCGUAGAGAUCGGCAGGAACACCCAGGGGGAAACCAGCCGCCUGGGCAUGCGCUGACGCUGAGGUGCGAGAGCGUGGGGAGCGAACCGGAUUAGAUACCCGCGUAGUCC